rnacentral:rRNA from 1 species
GGCCUGGGCGGGCGGUCCGCCGCAAGGCGCUGUACUGUCUGGCCGGGCCUUUCCUCUUGGUGAACCGGCGUGCCCUUCGCUGGGUGCGUCGAGGAACCAGGACGUUUACCUUGAGAAAAUUAGAGUGUUCAAAGCAGGCGUCUCGCCCGAAUACAUUAGCAUGGAAUAAUGGAAUAGGAC